rnacentral:rRNA from 1 species
CCUACGGGAGGCAGCAGUGAGGAAUAUUGGUCAAUGGGCGAGAGCCUGAACCAGCCAAGUCGCGUGAAGGAUGACGGCCCUACGGGUUGUAAACUUCUUUUGUCAGGGAGCAAUUGGGUCCACGCGUGGGCUUCCCGAGAGUACCUGAAGAAAAAGCCUCGGCUAACUCCGUGCCAGCAGCCGCGGUAAUACGGAGGAUGCGAGCGUUAUCCGGAUUAAUUGGGUUUAAAGGGUGCGUAGGCGGAAUAUCAAGUCAGCGGUAAAAAUUCGGGGCUCAACCCCGUCGUGCCGUUGAAACUGAUGGUCUUGAGUGGGCGAGAAGUAUGCGGAAGGCGUGGUGUAGCGGUGAAAUGCAUAGAUAUCACGCAGAACUCCGAUUGCGAAGGCAGCAUACCGGCGCCCAACUGACGCUGAAGCACGAAAGCGUGGGUAUCGAACAGGAUUAGAUACCCGAGUAGUC